rnacentral:sRNA from 1 species
GUCAGGCGUGGUGGUGCAUGCCUGUAAUCCCAACAGCUUGGGAGGCUGAGGCAGGAGGAUUUCAAAUUCAAAGCCAGCCUCAG